AUUGAACGCUGGCGGCAUGCCUUACACAUGCAAGUCGAACGGCAGCACGGGAGCAAUCCUGGUGGCGAGUGGCGAACGGGUGAGUAAUAUAUCGGAACGUGCCCAGUCGUGGGGGAUAACGUAGCGAAAGCUACGCUAAUACCGCAUACGAUCUAUGGAUGAAAGCGGGGGAUCGCAAGACCUCGCGCGAUUGGAGCGGCCGAUAUCAGAUUAGGUUGUUGGUGGGGUAAAAGCUCACCAAGCCUGCGAUCUGUAGCUGGUCUGAGAGGACGACCAGCCACACUGGAACUGAGACACGGUCCAGACUCCUACGGGAGGCAGCAGUGGGGAAUUUUGGACAAUGGGCGCAAGCCUGAUCCAGCAAUGCCGCGUGCAGGAUGAAGGCC
rnacentral:rRNA from 1 species